rnacentral:rRNA from 1 species
CGGAUCGUAAAGCUCUGUUGUUAGGGAAGAACAAGUGCCGUUCAAAUAGGGCGGCACCUUGACGGUACCUAACCAGAAAGCCACGGCUAACUACGUGCCAGCAGCCGCGGUAAUACGUAGGUGGCAAGCGUUGUCCGGAAUUAUUGGGCGUAAAGGGCUCGCAGGCGGUUUCUUAAGUCUGAUGUGAAAGCCCCCGGCUCAACCGGGGAGGGUCAUUGGAAACUGGGGAACUUGAGUGCAGAAGAGGAGAGUGGAAUUCCACGUGUAGCGGUGAAAUGCGUAGAGAUGUGGAGGAACACCAGUGGCGAAGGCGACUCUCUGGUCUGUAACUGACGCUGAGGAGCGAAAGCGUGGGGAGCGAACAGGAUUAGAUACCCUGGUAGUCCACGCCGUAAACGAUGAGUGCUAAGUGUU